AUUGAACGCUGGCGGCAUGCUUUACACAUGCAAGUCGAACGGCAGCGCGGGCUUCGGCCUGGCGGCGAGUGGCGAACGGGUGAGUAAUGCAUCGGAACGUGCCCAGCAGUGGGGGAUAGCCCGGCGAAAGCCGGAUUAAUACCGCAUACGACCUGAGGGUGCAAGCGGGGGACCGAAAGGCCUCGCGCUAUUGGAGCGGCCGAUGUCGGAUUAGCUAGUUGGUGGGGUAAAGGCUUACCAAGGCGACGAGCCGUAGCUGGUCUGAGAGGACGACCAGCCACACUGGGACUGAGACACGGCCCAGACUCCUACGGGGGGCAGCAUUGGGGAAUUUUGGACAAUGGGGGCAACCCUGAGCCAGCCAUGCCGCGUGCGGGAAGAAGGCCUUCGGGUUGUAAACCGCUUUUGUUCGGGAAGAAAUCCUCUGGGCUAAUACCCCGGGGGGAUGACGGUACCGGAAGAAUAAGCACCGGCUAACUACGUG
rnacentral:rRNA from 1 species